UACGGAGGGUGCAAGCGUUAUCCGGAUUCACUGGGUUAAAGGUGCGUAGGUGGGUCUGUAAGUCAGUGGUGAAAUCUCCGGGCUUAACCCGGAAACUGACCAUUGAUACUAUAAGGUCUUGAAUUCUUCUGGAGGUCAGCGGAAUAUGUCAUGUAGCGGUGAAAUGCUUAGAAUAUGACAUAGAACACCAAUUGCGAAGGCAGCUGACUACAGGGGCAUUGACACUGAGGCACGAAAGCGUGGGGAUCAAACAGG
rnacentral:rRNA from 1 species